AAGUGAGGUAGAGGCGCGGUAUUUAACAGUCUUUAGUGGAGUGUGAGGAAACAAUGAUACUAAGGAGAAGGAAAUAUCGCCGAAGCUUGUAAUAUUCUCAGUAUUACUUGCUGGGUCUGCGGUUAAGAGCUGUAGGACUGUCUCAAUAAACUUUCCCAGUUUAUUGAGUUGUGCUAUCUCAUUU
rfam:Tissierella praeacuta DSM 18095 genome assembly, contig: EK13DRAFT_scaffold00019.19